CUGACCUUAGCUUAGUUGGUAGAGCGGAGGACUGUAGUUUGAUUACUCUAAAUUGGAAAUCCUUAGGGCGUUAGUUCAAAUCCGGCAGGGCGGC
rfam:Ipomoea nil DNA, scaffold: scaffold3056, cultivar: Tokyo-kokei standard.